rnacentral:lncRNA from 1 species
AUAGUAAUUACAUGAAAUAUUUUGGAGAUUCUUAUAUCUGGAAGAUUUUUGGAAACUUGCUGGUUCCCAUUUGUUCACUUAACAAUAUACUUGUACACUUUUUAUUCUCGCUGCUCACUUUUCUUUCUCUAGUCAUGCUCUUGUGUGGUCCCUGCAGCAACAAGUAGGAGAAAAACAUAGACCUGGUGGAGAGGAAACACUUAUAAGGAAAAUAAGAAAAUACAGCUGUAAAUGAUUUUACAUCAUUUCAUAAUGGGGGAUAUUCUGAAGUCACCAGGAGCAUAAAGUACACUUACCAGAGUGAGCUGAUCAUAUUAUUUUCUGGUCCAAGUUACAGGUGCUGGCAUUUAAGCCCUGUAAAUGCCAAUAAGAAAUCUGGGUUGCAGUGGCUGAAGUCAGCUAUUAAAGUGCUUCCUCUACACAUGAAGAAUCCACUGCUUUGAAAAAAUUGUUAUCUUUGGAGUGAGUGGAUAUGUGAACAGCACAACUGUAGCUUAGAUGUAAAAUGCUUUUAUCUAAAAAUAAAAAUACAGCUUCCAGCCAGCUGUUUGCCUACUGGAGCUUGGCUCUGAUUGGAAUGCUAGCAAAAAGGUGGAGUUCUUGGAAAAGGGCACUUUGGAAGAUACAUUCUUUCUCAUUUCUAAGGGAACAAGGAAGAGAUGGAGGCAGAGGAAGAGAGGCUCAUUGUUCAUCUUGCGUUUAGGUAAGUACUCAUUCAGAUUUUUUCCAGUACCAUAAGUAAAACAUGACAGGUAAAGUGGAGUUUUGUGAGGAAGAACUGUAUGACCAGCUAGUCUGAAAUGUGAAACACCUUGGUUCCAUAUUUCUACCAAAUAGGGUAUAUGCAAAAGACAACCUUUUUUUCAUCUGGGAUAAAGAACAUACUUAGAAGUAUAACAAGUUAUUUGAUUAAAACUCCUCAUCUGAAAGCUGAUCGAUAUGUAGUAUUUUUCUUGUUCACUGAAUUCACUUUUAUACUUUUCUAAUAUCAUGCAAAUUAAAUACUAUAAAGUGACUGAUCCCACUCUUUUCUGUAUCAUCCAUUUUUAUCUCUGCCCUUGUAAUAUUUUUUUUUCCUUUUUAAACAUCAGAGAACUGUAGGCUUCUAAUGCUGUAUAUUAUUACAAUAACAACCAAUACCUGGAGCAGGCAAAUCCCCUGUUAGUGUUCUGAAGCAGCAAUUAUUCCCAUAGUAAAAAGCCACUCCUCUUUAAAAAAAAAAAAGCCUCUUAAUUAUCAGCAGCUGUCCAGCCUCCUCUU